rnacentral:rRNA from 1 species
UACGUAGGGUGCGAGCGUUAAUCGGAAUUACUGGGCGUAAAGCGUGCGCAGGCGGUUUUGUAAGCCAGAUGUGAAAUCCCCGGGCUUAACCUGGGAAUGGCAUUUGGGACUGCAAGGCUUGAGUGCGGCAGAGGAGACUGGAAUUCCUGGUGUAGAGGUGAAAUUCGUAGAUAUUAGGAAGAACACCAGUGGCGAAGGCGGCACCCUGGGCCGGUACUGACGCUGAGGAGCGAAAGCGUGGGGAGCAAAACGG